CAGGUUUUGCCACUCAAUGGGUUGCACAAAACCUUUUAGCUUUCAGAGCUUCUCAGACCUCACAUUCAGAUAGGGGAUGAUGGAACUGACCGAGCCCGUGUAGGGGAGGCUGCGGGGUGGACAGCGAGAAAGUCACGAAAAGUGCUUGGCAAAGAGAGAGCUAUCACUGAUCAAAGGCACUGUGAAUAUGACUGCUGUUGGCACACUCGUUCCCAGCAGAGCUGGCUUUGACCUCAGAGGCACCUAAAGCCGGCAGAAUGAUAAGAAGCGACCCAGAAGAGUGAGGGCAACCGCUGAGCUCCCCAAAGUGGCCGAAACCAAGGUCAACAGCUGCUGGCCCUCUGGUCAACUGCUGAAAACGGAGCAGCUGGCCACCUGAGAGAGACCAAGGCAAAGGGCCAGGCAGAAAUCUGUCAUCUCAGCUACGUGGUUCAGGCACCCUAGAGCUGGCCCCAAGAAGCCUCUGGGAAGGGUAGCACACAUGGGCCUGGGGAGCUGGCUGAGAUCAUUCCUUGUGUUUCCCGAGCAUCCCUUUGAAAACCAGGCAAGAGUUCCUACUGUGGGUGCACAGGGUCACGCUGUGGCCAGGCUAACGGUCUGCUGGAAGAGAUCCCGAGGCCCCCGGGGGAACAAGGCCUGGCUCUGACUCUGCAGCACAGAAUUCAGAAACAGAGUCAGAUGGAGACUGAGGGCCGGGAAUGAGGAUUGUGUUCACACCUCAGUCAACCACACCGCCUGCUGUAAUCUUAUCAACCAAUCCAGCUAAGCCGACAUGCAGAACAGCUCCGGUCUUUCAGAGACAGAGAGAAAGAGAGAUGAACCCAGAGAAGGAGUCUGGUCCUCCAGGAGCCGGCUGUGACCCUCCCCCCCUCAGGUCCUCCGCGAUGGGAGCACACUGGAGAAGGUGGUUGUGGCGCCCAGAACUUGCUCCUCAUCUGCCUGGAGAAUGUGACUGGCCUUUCGGGUCUUCUGACUUUCUGGACCCUUCAGGUGAUGCUGCCUGCGCGUCCUUGUCACGCACCGCGGGGACCACUCCCUGUUCUACUCUGUUGGAGGCUCGGGCUCCCUCUCACCAGCCUCAGGCUGAGGCGACCCAGCGGUGGCGGGAUUCAGAGGAUGCCUCCCUCCCCGGCGGCUUCCCUGCCUCUCCCCCUCCCUCCUCUCCGCGCCCCUCUGUUCCACAAGGAUCUAGGCAACAAGACCUGCUGGAUACUUAACCUUCAGCCACGCUUUAGUCUGUGGCUUAAAAGUAAAAUAAAAAUGAAACCUGUCGC